CCACAUCUGAAUUUUAUGCUCGGUAUAGGUUUACACCUCAUACAGUAAAAAACAUCAUAUUACCAAUGUUGAAACCUGACCUGAGCAAUCGUACGAAAAGAGGCCUGCCGUUUGCUCCUGAAAUAAUGAUAUUGUUAACAUUGCGGACUUUUCAGGUAAAUGAUAAUAGCUAUUUAGUACUGGACCUACUCAUAGACCUACUGGCA
rnacentral:misc_RNA from 1 species